AAUAGAGAAUCAUUUACUUUCACCUUUUAGUUCAUUUGCAUUUAAUAGACAUGUAGUUGAAUGUUAGUUGAAUGUCAGUUGAGCAUCAAAGAGGCUAUCAAAUGGACCAUCCAAGUAAAGUGUUACCGAAUAAUCUUCUGUUUUUUCUGUUCCAGAAUCAAAAAUGGAUAAAAUCUAUCUGACCGUGUUUGGGCAGGCUUUAUAUUCCAACGUAAUCUUCGUAGACAAGCUCCGAGUUCACCUUAACUUUCGAGAGGUGACUUCGCUGGAGAGGAGUGACAUCGUCAUUGCUUUUGCCCCCAUCACAUCUCGAGCUGGAACCGACCUCGAAGCUGCUCUUAAGAGGAUCCCACAGUCUUCCAGGCCUGUUGUUCUAGUGGUGCUCCAUUACACAUUUGAUCUAAAUUUCGUGGCUCCAGAGAGCAGGUAUUUUGUUAACAGCAAUGUUAACAGGAGUGAUGUGUUCACUGUGGACUGCCUGUUUAAUGAAGAUCAAGGCCUGCUGGAAUGCCAACGCAAUAACGAGGCUGUGCAAGCGGUGACUGCUCAUCUGAUCUCUAAAGGAGUGCUGAGAAAGCUAGCAGACGUUUAUUAUCCGGUAAUAAAAUCUCAUCUAUCUGUGUAUAUAUUUGGUAUCAUGCAAGCUUGUGAGUUCUGCCAGAAUUGCUUAUCUGUUUGCAUGGACAGUUUGAGCCAGAUGCUGUUGGUCACCAUAAUUACCACCCACAAACUUAACUCCCACAAGAUUAAUCGUAUUUUAUUGAUGUUUUAAGUGAUCGAUCAACACAAAGCUGCACAUUAUUGUCAAGUGGAUCAAAAAUUGUUUUAAAAUUUUAAUCAAAUUAAAAUCUAAAAAGUAUCAAUAUUUAGUAAAGCCACCAUUUGCUGCAAUUGCAGAAGCUGCAAGUCUUUUGGUGAACCAUCUACACACUGAUAUUUUGGAAUAUUCUUCUUUACAAAACAGCUCAAGCUCACCCAGAUUGGAUGGAGAGCUUCUGUGAACAACAAUUUUCAUGUCUUCAUGUCUUGCCACAGAAGCUCAGUGGUAUUUAGGUUCAGAACUUUAACUAGGCCAUUCUAACACAUGAAUAGUCUUUCAUUUAAACCAUUCCACUGUAGCUUUGGCUGUAUGUUUAGGGUCAUUGUCUUGCCGGAAGGUAAACCUCCUACCCAGGUCAUCUUAAGUCUUCUGCAGCCUUCAACUGGUUUUCUUCCAGGAUUACCCUAUAUUUAGUUCCAAUCAUCUUCCCAUCAAUUCUGACCAACUUCCCAACUCAACCCUGUCCCUGCUGAAAAAAAGCAUCCUCACAGCAUGAUGCUGCCACCACCACGUUUCACAGUGGGGGUGGUGUGUUCAGGGUGAUGAGCAGUGUUACUUUUCCACCACACAUAGAGCUUUGCAUUUAGGGCAAAAAGUUUAACAUUGGCCACUCUUGCCACUCCUGCCUCUCUUCCAUAAAGGCCAGAUUUGUGGAGUGCAUGACUUAUAGUUGUCCUGUGGACAGAUUAUCCAACCUGAGCUGUGGAUUUCUGAAUUUCUGACCAUAGACCUCUUGGCUACUUCUCUGACCAGUGCCCACCUUGCUUGAUUUGUUAGUUUGGGUGGAUCAUGGCCAUGUCUUGGUAGGUUUGUAGAAGCAAUUGUAGAAUACUUUUUUCAUUUUUGGAUGAUGGAUUAAACAGUGCUACUUGGGAUGCUUGGGAAAGCUUUGGAUAUGUUUUUAUAAUCUAACCCUGCUUUAAACGUUUUUUCCACAACUUUAUUUCUGACCUGUCUGGUGAGUUUCUUGGUCUUCAUGAUGCUGUUUGUUCACUAGUGUAGUGCUCUAACAAACCACUGAGGCCUUCAGAGAACAGAAAUAUUUAUACUAAGGCUAAAUUACACACAGCUGGACUCUUUUAUUAGGAUUUAACUUAUUAGGAAGGCAAUUCAUUGAUUGUACUGGAUUUUAUUUAGGGUUUUUUAGGUUAAAGGGGGCUGAAAACUUUUACACAUCACACAUUUCAGCUUUUAAUUUAAAUAUAAUUUUGAAAAUCAUGCAUCAUUUUUGCUCCACUUCACAAUUAUGUGCUACUUUGUGUUGGUCUAUCACUAAAAAUCUCAAUAAAAUUCAUUCAAAAAGGGGUAUGAAUACUUUU
ensembl:lncRNA